GAGCUGGCUUCCCAGUACACCUGGUGGGAACAUUAUUUCACACGGCAGGAUGUUUCUAAAAUUUAUGGCAGUUUCAGACAAGAUUUCCAGAGAAAUCCCUUCUCCUCUCCAUCCAAGCUUCCCCAUCUAUAACAUCCUUAUCACUGCUGCCAAGAGGCACCAAGGGCAAGCUGUACCCACCAAGCUUCACAAAUCACAGCUCACAAUUCAGAAGAUACACCUUCUCUCAGCAGGCUUAAGCAUCUCCCUCAGACCCUUCCCCCUCACCUCUUCCAGCAGCAACACCCCCUUACUGUGGUAAAUUGUCCACCCCACCCCCAAGCCUUCUUUGCUCAUCUGUGCAAUAAAGAGGCUCAGUU
rnacentral:lncRNA from 1 species